rnacentral:rRNA from 1 species
GAUGGCAGCUACAUGACUUCUGAGGACGAUAGCGGCGUCCAGCGGCGUACGGGUGAGUAAUGCCUACGAUCUUGCCCUGUUGUGGGGGAUAACCAUUGCUAACGAUGGCUAAUACCGCAUGAUGCCUACGGGCCACCUACGGGGACCUUCCGGCCUCUCGCGUCUGGAUGUGCCUAGGUGGGAUUAGCUAUUUGGUGAGGUAAGGGCUCACAUCCGCAACUAUCCCUAGCUGGUCUGAGAGGAUGAUCAGCCUCACUGGAACUGAAAACCCGUCCAGACUCCUACGGGAGGCAACAUUGGGGAAUAUUGCACAAUGGGAGCCAGCCUGAUGCCGCCUUGCCGCAUGGGUGACGAAUGCCUUCGGGUUGUAAAGCACUUUCAAUGGGGAAGAAUGCGUACUCCUUAAUAGCGACGUUGUUUGACGUUAACGGCCCAACAAACACCGGCUAACUCCCUGCCGUCAUACGCGGUAAUA